AUGCACAGAGCUUUCAGAAGAAGAAGAAAAUUGCACAGAGGAAUUACAAGAUACAUAUACCUGGAAUUUCACGGAACCUAUGGAUUUCUCGUCUUCACGGUUACAUUGAAGAAGCACCGGACUUCUCUGGUAGGUGAAGACGAUGAAACCGGGGUGCUAAAAAUAAGAAAAUUCAAAGUGAAGCACAGAGAUGUUGCGGAUGGAGAUGAAAGUGAUAGAGGAGAAGUUGGUCAGCGAAGGUGA